rnacentral:rRNA from 1 species
GGGGUGCUCGAGUGGCGAACGGGUGAGUAACACGUGAGUAACCUGCCCUUGACUUUGGGAUAACUUCAGGAAACUGGGGCUAAUACCGGAUAGGAGCUCCUGCUGCAUGGUGGGGGUUGGAAAGUUUCGGCGGUUGGGGAUUGACUCGCGGCUUAUCAGCUUGUUGGUGGGGUAGUGGCUUACCAAGGCUUUGACGGGUAGCCGGCCUGAGAGGGUGACCGGCCACAUUGGGACUGAGAUACGGCCCAG